ACUCCGUGAAGCUGGAUUCGCUAGUAAUCGCGCAUCAGCCAUGGCGCGGUGAAUACGUUCCCGGGCCUUGUACACACCGCCCGUCAAGCCAUGGAAGCCGGGGGUGCCUGAAGUGUGCAGCCGCAAGGAGCGCCCUAAGGUAAAACCGGUNACUGGGGCUAAGUCGUAACAAGGUAUC
rnacentral:rRNA from 1 species